rnacentral:lncRNA from 1 species
CUCGAAUUAAAACUAAAAAUUAAACAAUUUUGUCAUCCAUCCAAUACAUGAGAAAAAUUAGCCUAGCAUACUGUUGAAAUCAAACAAAUAAAAGUGGAAGAACAUCACCGAAAUUUGACGAAACGUGAUUAAUUUCAAAAGUAUUCUCGGCUUCUACAUGUAUGUAUUUUUCCCCAACAGCAAGUAGGCUCCUCCUUUUAUUUUUAUCUCCAAAUGGCACUAAUUCUCUUCCCUUGUCCACGUGGUUCUGUAGGUAUGUAUGUGUAUUUUAAAUCACAAAGUUGCCCUUUUUUUUCUUCCUCUCGCCGCCAACUUGCUGUGUCUUCUUUCUGUCCUCAAUUCACGUUUGUUUGUAUGUGAUUCCAGCCGGCAAUUGUAUGUCUCUCUUCUAAUUUCCACCAGCAGCUUAUGUAUGUAUAUAUCAUAUAAUUCAGCAACCGAAAAUUGUAUAUGAAUUCCAAAGUGGCCUCCUCUUUUUCUGUCUUCUGUCCACCUUUAAUUCAGUAGCUGAAGCCUAUUUUUCUCUUUCUCCUCCCUAAGAUGCCGACCAGAUUGUAAUUUUUUUUUUGUCAACUCCCCUCCAAUCUGCUGCCCAAUUAUAUGUGUGAAUCACUCAACAUUUUCCCAAGCAGCUGCCUUUUAUACUCCAAUUGUAGCCAACGUCUUCCACUCCAAUUUUCUUCCUAGUCGUUUCUCUCCUUUCUGCCGGCACCAAUCUGUAAAUACAAAAAUAGAAUUCAACCCGCCCCUUGAUAUGUGUGAAAAUUAUAAUAAUGGCUCCCCCCCUGUUUCUCUCGGUAGGCGCCUAUAUAUACUUCCAAUCAGCCAAGUAAUUUUAUUCACAAAAAUAUUCCAAUACCAUCCCUAAUUUCCAAACUGCCGUGUGUAAUUUUAUAUGGACAAAUCUAAUUGGGCCACCCACUUGUAUUAUCAAAGUCCCAUAUGUAAUUUAAUUGCACAUAACUUCCAAUCCAAGUAAAAGUCUAGUUAAGGUCCAUU